AUUGAACGCUGGCGGCAUGCUUUACACAUGCAAGUCGAACGGCAGCACGGGCUUCGGCCUGGUGGCGAGUGGCGAACGGGUGAGUAAUGCAUCGGAACGUGCCGUGUAGUGGGGGAUAACGUAGCGAAAGUUACGCUAAUACCGCAUACGCCCUGAGGGGGAAAGGGGGGGACCGCAAGGCCUCACGCAAUAUGAGCGGCCGAUGUCGGAUUAGCUAGUUGGUAGGGUAAAGGCCUACCAAGGCGACGAUCCGUAGCGGGUCUGAGAGGAUGAUCCGCCACACUGGGACUGAGACACGGCCCAGACUCCUACGGGAGGCAGCAGUGGGGAAUUUUGGACAAUGGGCGCAAGCCUGAUCCAGCCAUGCCGCGUGAGUGAAGAAGGCCUUCGGGUUGUAAAGCUCUUUCAGACGGAAAGAAAUCGGUGUGUUUAAUACAUGCACUGGAUGACGGUACCGUAAGAAGAAGCACCGGCUAACUACGUGCCAGCCGCCGCAGUAAGAC
rnacentral:rRNA from 1 species